CUGUGGUGCACGUGUUACGAUGCACACUUGCAUUGACAUGGGGGAAGUAGAGGAAGAAACUCACAAGAAGAGACUCAUGAUCGAAUUUCGUUAAUAUAACUCGUUUUUCGCUGGGUUUAUAGAGUAUAUGCCUACUUUGAACAAAAGAGCUCCGCCUCUUGUGUGUACUCGAGAGCGGCGCAGGGCGGCGCGCAUCCCCAAAUAUCAGCGACGGCAGGUUGAAAGGCGCAAAAUAAGCUUGGCUGGGUGAAGAUGCACCAACUGACGGCCGUACUACACUGUCCGAAACACUAUCAUGUCAAACUCAAAAGGUGCUCACUAUUUCCCCUCCAUUUUGGGCUCUGCUUCCGCAAGUUGCAACACCCGCGAACCAGGGAUGUACUUGUUUUGACAUGUGUGCAUGGAAUCAUUCAGAGAAUAAAAACCUUUUUGCUGUAUGAAGUUCA